UGAUAGGUUAUGACAGCCUUCGAUCCAGCGAUAUACUCAGAUUUUGAAGAGGAAUUCCCAUAUUUUGAAGAGGAAUUCCCAAAUUUUGAAGAGGAAUUCCCAUCGUUGGCCAUUCAACAUCCAGUUGGACGACCUCAGCCACCACGAAUAAACCCAGCAUAGUCCACUGGACGGAGAACAGUUAUAUAUCUUUGUGUCGACAGGACACAACAAAUAUCUAUGGUUGGAUAGUAUCAUUCCAUAUAUGACACGAGCUAACGGGUCAUAUUUACAACACAUUUUUAAUGGAAAUGUGUAGACCUAUAACACAUGCAUUUUGCUUCGUAAGAAAUGAUUUGUCCCAGACUGUAUUGCAUGCCAGGUUGUAGUUGUCUAUGCACGGACGUCACGACGAAGCAUCGUCAUUCAAAGGGAACAUAUAUGUAUUUUGAGAAUUGUUAUGUGGCGUCGGACACACGGUUAAGGACCACAGAGCAAAUUAGAGAGGAAACCCGCUGCCGCCACUUCAUGGUUUACUCUUUUCGAUUACAAGCUGGGGGUCUUUUACAUGCACUAUCCACAGACAGGAUACUACAUGCCACGGUCCCUGUUACACCAGUAGUGGUGCACAGGCUGGAACGAGAAAUAGCUCAACGGGCCCAAUUAAUACCAUAGCGACUGCCUAUCAGGCGAACGCUUUACCACUGGGCUACACACACACACACACACACACACACACACACACACACACACACACACAUACACACACACACACAUACACAUACACACACACACACAGAG